CUGCAUCAAUUAAGCUGACUAGGCUCCUUUGAUGGGUGUCCGGUGUUCAAAGGCUGCAAACAGCUCCUCUUCGGUAAUGUACGUAGCCUGUUGCUUGUACGGGCUGCCCUAAGGGACCUUAAAAACACUG
ensembl:snoRNA SNORA70 Small nucleolar RNA SNORA70